UAGGGAAUUGUCGGCAAUGGGCGAAAGCCUGACCGCGCGACGCCGCGUGAAGGAAGAAGGUCUUCGGAUUGUAAACUUCUUUUAUGAGGGAAGAUUAUGACGGUACCUCAUGAAUAAGGGCCUGCUAACUACGUGCCAGCAGCAGCGGUAAUACGUAGGGCCCAAGCAUUAUCCGGAAUUACUGGGCGUAAAGAGUGCGUAGGUGUUCUAUUAAGUCGGUCGUUAAAUCCCACUGCUUAACAGUGGGGCUGCGAGCGAAACUAAUAGAAUUGAGUGUUGCAGGGGCAAGCAGAAUUCUUGGAGUAGGGGUGAAAUCCGUUGAUACCAAGAGGAAUACCAAUGGCGAAGGCAGCUUGCUAGGCAAACACUGACACUGAGGCACGAAAGCGUGGGGAGCAAA
rnacentral:rRNA from 1 species